GUAGGUGAACCUGCGGAAGGAUCAUUAACACGUAUCCAAACGUUAAAACCCUCUGUCAACAUUCAACACCAAUAAUGGUCCUGCAAAUAGUUUGGGUCAACCCCUAGUAAAUCAUUGUCUGAACCAGAUUUUGAUGGCUUCCCUGGCACCGCGGUGAGCAAGAUUUACGCUUCUGGCAGCUUUGAAGUGACUUCCACUGUUCUGAAUGUCAGUGUACUUGCGUAAGGAGUUGGCGCAGUCAACGAAUCAACGGGCCGACACGGCCCUGCGACCGGGACCCUUUGAGCGGGUAAAACGGCUCCAACCGAAUGAAAAUUUGGCAUGACGAGAGAGGCGGCCGGCCGAAAGGUUGUAGGCACAAAAAACGAACAACUGUUAACAUGGAUAUCUUGGUUCUC
rnacentral:misc_RNA from 1 species